AGAAAUAAAGAAACUGUUUAUUAACUUUUAACUAAAAAAGUUAGGAACCGGUUCUUAAAUAAGGACUUUAAGAAUUGGUUCUUAGCUUUUUUAGUUAAAAGUUAAGAAACAGUUUCUUAAAUUCC
rfam:Brassica oleracea var. oleracea cultivar TO1000 chromosome C5, whole genome shotgun sequence